GGAUGAACGUUGGCGGCGUGCCUAAUACAUGCAAGUCGAACGAGAAGCACCCUUCGGGGUGUGGAGAGUGGCGCACGGGUGAGUAACACGUAGCUCAUCUACCCCAGAUGACGGGAUAACCUUCGGAAACGAGGGCUAAUACCGUAUAAGCUCACGGUAUGUAAGAAGCUGUGAGAAAAGCUCCGGCGCUUUGGGAUGAGGCUGCGGUCCAUCAGCUACUUGGUGUGGUAAUGGCGCACCAAGGCGACGACGGAUAUGGGACCUGAGAGGGUGAGCCCCCACACUGUGACUGAGACACGGACCAGACUCCUACGGGAGGCAGCAGUAAGGAAUAUUGCACAAUGGGCGCAAGCCUGAUGCAGCGACGCCGCGUGGGUGAUCAAGGUUUUCGAAUCGUAAAGCCCUUUUCUAUGUGACGAGCAAGGACGGUAGCAUAGGAAUAAGUGUCGGCUAACUACGUGCCAGCAGCCGCGGUAAAACGUAGGACGCAAACGUUAUCCGGAGUUACUGGGCGUAAAGCGCGCGCAGGCGGAGUGUUAACUUGUUUAUGAAAGCUCCCGGCUAAACUGGGAGAGGUUGGACAAAACUGGCAUUCUAGAGUGAAGCAGAGGAAGGCAGAAUUCCGCGUGUAGUGGUGAAAUGCGUAGAUAUGCGGAGGCAUACCAGUGGCGAAGGCGGUCUUCUGGGCUUCAACUGACGCUGAGGCGCGAAAGCAUGGGGAGCGAACGGGAUUAGAAACCCCGGUAGUCCAUGCCGUAAACG
rnacentral:rRNA from 1 species